UGCAAGUCGAACGGUAGCACAGAGAGCUUGCUCUCGGGUGACGAGUGGCGGACGGGUGAGUAAUGUCUGGGAAACUGCCUGAUGGAGGGGGAUAACUACUGGAAACGGUAGCUAAUACCGCAUAACGUCGCAAGACCAAAGAGGGGGACCUUCGGGCCUCUUGCCAUCAGAUGUGCCCAGAUGGGAUUAGCUAGUAGGUGGGGUAACGGCUCACCUAGGCGACGAUCCCUAGCUGGUCUGAGAGGAUGACCAGCCACACUGGAACUGAGACACGGUCCAGACUCCUACGGGAGGCAGCAGUGGGGAAUAUUGCACAAUGGGCGCAAGCCUGAUGCAGCCAUGCCGCGUGUAUGAAGAAGGCCUUCGGGUUGUAAAGUACUUUCAGCGGGGAGGAAGGUGUUGUGGUUAAUAACCACAGCAAUUGACGUUACCCGCAGAAGAAGCACCGGCUAACUCCGUGCCAGCAGCCGCGGUAAUACGGAGGGUGCAAGCGUUAAUCGGAAUUACUGGGCGUAAAGCGCACGCAGGCGGUCUGUCAAGUCGGAUGUGAAAUCCCCGGGCUCAACCUGGGAACUGCAUUCGAAACUGGCAGGCUAGAGUCUUGUA
rnacentral:rRNA from 1 species